rnacentral:lncRNA from 1 species
UUAGAAAAACUAGAAUUCCAUACUGUCUUAAAAAGUUCCCAACAACAUGACAUGACAUGAAAUGAAAUGAAUAAACACCAUUUAGAAAAGAGAUGUUCCCUUCCCCUUCUUGUCGCCACCAAUUUCAAAAUGCUUGCACCUCUGCAACAACACAAGACACAAACACCAACACAUUAGCUCAUCAAGCAAACACAUUGGUCAACAAAGGUUUUUUCUCAAUGCACAAACCUUGAUUGGAUGCUAGGAUACAUGCUUGCAACCCUGGCAUUGCAGCCUCAGCACAAUCUUCUUGGUGGUCUUGGCCUAUUCAAACCAUACAAUGCCAUUAAUAUUAUAUAACAUGCUAGGAGUCUUGACAAAUAGCAAUGAUCAGAAUGACAAAAUGAGUUAACACUUGGUACUAACUAGUACCAGAAGAUGCAACAUAAGAUAUUAGAUCCUCUCUCGGUGUAUCAAGAAAUAGCAAUAGCUAAACAUCCUUUACUAACUAGUAUCAGAAGAUGCAGCAUAAGAAUUCUAGAUAUUUUGGUUAUAUAACUAAACACCAAGCAAGAUAUAAAAGACAAGUGAAGAGGAAUUACCUUCUUGUGGAACACUGGUUUGGUCUGACCACCAUAACCUGAUUUUUUUAAGAAAAUUUCUACUGCAUUUUUAAUGCCAAUUUGAUGUUCUUAACCAACUUCCAUUAAACAUUUACAAGAAAAAGGGAGAGUCGGCUAUUAAUUAAUAAUAACCAAUUAAAUAAUCAUGCAGAGCUUAGUUACGCAAUAUUUAUUGCGUCAUUAGGGAAUAUAUUGACCUAAGCAAACCUUGUAUUCAUCAAGCUAAGGCUGAAGAUAUCUAUGCAUUAAUUUCAACCCCAUAGUGUGGCAUUGAAAGGGUUCUGAGCAUGUUAACAGACUGAUUUGAUUAUUGAUGCAAGAACGAAAAUGAUAAGAAUCGGGUUGAAAAACAGGUAGUAUAAUCCAUGAACAAGCAACAGAAUGUGAAUCCCAUGCUGCGAAAUGUAAUAAGACAUGUUUUUGCAUGGGAUAAGCAAACCAGAUAGCAUACAUAAACCUUAAGACAUAACAUUGCAACAAAGUAUAAUCAUCUAGGCCUAUUGAAUAGAGGUUUGAUUCUACAAGAAUGAAUAUGGUGCAACUUUACGACAAAAACUUGAUUGCGAUUUCAAGCUGCAUAUAAAGCAAGCAAAGAAGCAGAAUUGGGUUCUAACUGACCAUAGUGCAGUGUCAUAGUGAACAUGUAGAAAGCUUCAUAGCUUCCAACUUCAUCCGGGUUCGAAAAUUAACAGCCUUAGCAUAAAAACAUGCCUAAUAUGCCACAAAAGUGAGAACCCUAUAGGCCUAGACUAAGGUCAUGCAACUGAAAGCUGCAAUAGAAGAAGCUGAAACCUAUACUAGAUGAUAAGAUAAAACUGAUAUACAAUUUGUACGAGCAACGGUAUAAACAAGUCAUCAAGUGAAAGCAUUACAAAUUGUUCUCUAUCAGCAAACAUGAAAACUUGCUCUAAUGAAAGCAUUGUUGCAAACGGUUUAAACACGAAAAUAGAAUAUUCGUUGCAACCCCAUGGUACAAAUAUGUUUCAAACAAAACCGAAUAGUAAACGGGGAACAAAUUCUGUCUUGCAAUGAACAUGUAAGGCAUAUAUCGAAUCGACGUAAACGACAUAAUGUAUGAAUUAUGAUACAAUAUAACAAAGGAUAAGCAAAACAAAGGAUAACCAAAGUAACAUGAAUACAAACAAGCAAAAUAGAAGCAAUUCAUUCAAACUUAAAUGGAAAUAAUUUAGCAUAUAUCAUCUAUGCUAGUUGAUCAAAUGGAAAUAAUUUAGCAUGUCAGAAGAGAGGACCUAACAUUCUUUAGGGCCUAAGAUGAAACUUAAAUGAUAUAUGACUAUGCAUGCCUGGAAUUUUAACAUUAUUUCUACUUUUAUGUUACUAAAACCUUGUCCCUCAGAGAAUUUUGCUCUUUUGAUCAGGUGACAGAAAGCAAAUUAGAUCAGUCCCAGCCUUUAGAAGACAAUUCUAACUCAAUUUCAAACAAUGGAAUGCACUAAAUCGAAAUUUUAAACUAAAUAAAUUUAAAACACUAAUCAGGAAACAUAGAUAAACAUCUGAAGCGUAAAAAUUAAAGGAAAGGAGACAAGGUAUUCUCACUGGUAGUAGAGGCGCAGGCGGCGGUGCUGGAAGUUCAAAUCUGUGAAAGUGAUGAAAUUUUUGGGUCCUGAUAAAAAAAAGAGCAAAAACGUAUGAGAAGAUGGAGCUGAAGGCAAAAAUCAGUUUUAAGUUUACCUCUGCAAUCAAUGGAAGGGAAACGUCGGAGAGGAUGAAGCUUGAUAAGGGCAGAAAAAGAUUACCUCCCUUCCCGCUACUGUUUCUCAGUCGUUGUAAGAAGCGGAAGAAUGGUGAAGCCCUUUGGCUGUCAGCGUACCUUUGGCUGGAAGAAGAUGAAGGCGAAUCGAUUUGGCUGGAAGAAUAUGUGAAAACGUGAAGGUGAAUCGAUUUGGCUUGAUUUGAGGAUAUGAAAUCGACGGGAAAUUUUUGGGGAGAAGAAGGCAGGUUAUUUUGAUCUCAAAAUUAAAGAAGAAAACGGUGAAUAGCUAUUACAAACUAAAACCCAGGAAUACCUAUUACAGCUGCUGAGGGAAUAGGCAAGGAAUAGCAAAACCUCCGAUUAGGUAAACGGCGAAACCAAACGGCGUAUUAGGUGGGGCCACCGAAUCGGGGUGUAAUGGAUUAGCCAUUUCACCCAACCAAACAUGGUGUAAAUACAUAUGGUACACCAACUUAUGGAUAAUAAGAAAAUUUUUAAAAAUAAAAUUUCAUCAAUGAAUAGAUUUCUUUUUUGGUCAAUUACGAAGAGGGUAAAGCCCUAACAACAACACAAUUAAUACAACUUGAACUCAAGUCACACUUAGGAUGAUGAACACCUUAACUAUUAAGCCAACACACAAGGUUCUCAAUUGAUAGAUUUUUAAAAUAAAAGCAUUUGUAAUCAUCAAUAAAUCAUAAUAACUUUUCUCUUUUUUCUUCAAGUCAUUUGUUUUUUUGUCUAGUGAUGGUGUCGGCUUCGGAGUUAACUAUCGUCCACUUUUUUUUCCCUCACAUCAAUCAUUUUUUUCUUCUUUCUUUUUUCUUUUCAUUCACAUCAUGUGUGUUUUCUCUUUUCAAUUUGCAGAUCUAUUUUGUGGUAUAUUUGCUCUCUUCACAAGUUGUGAUGGACAAAUGACGGUGUUUGUUGUCAUUGAAAAUCCAUCGACUACUAGCAAUUUUUCUUGAAAAGUGAGUGACUCUCCGUCAAUUUCAAAAUAAUAAAUGAUUUCACAAAUCGGUUUGGAUCCGUAAUGUCUUGAGUUUUAUAUGUUUUUUUUCGUUGUUUAAUUAGUUUUCACGAAGUUUUUGUUUGCUCUUAUAACACAUUUUUUACUCUUGCUUAUGCAUAUAGUCUUACUUUUGCAAGUGAUUUUAAGGAUGGUUUUGUCGCUGUCCUCUUCUAUUUGGUGAAUGCUUGGGUAUUUUGUUGAUUUUUGUCCACCGCUUUGGACCAUCCGGUUGAUUUCCUUAUCAUAUUAAGUGCUUACAAUCAUAAUUUGUAACACCCCUUACCCGAGACCAUUACCGGAGUCGAGCUCGAGGCAUUACUUUACUUAACUUAAAAAUUCGGGGCAUAAAAUUUUACUUUUGAAAUUAAUUUCACUAUUCACAACAAAGCUGUCCACCUGCGCAGCAGUUACUAAUUUAGUUAUAACUCGAGCUACGAAACCAAAAUUUAAAUCUGUAAAUUUUCCCUGAAACUAGACUCAUAUGUCUUCUUACCAUAAAAUUUUCAGAAUUUUUGGUUCAGCCAAUUAGUACAGUUUAUUAGUUAAAGUCUCCCCUGUUUCACCACUCGACUAUCCUGACCUCUUGUCACUAAAAAUAAGCUUUCUCAUUGUAGGAAUUUCAUAUGGUGUUAUAAUUUAUUUCUACAGAAAAUAGACUCAAUAAGGAAUCUAGAAAUAUAAAAUAUAACUCAUAAACAUUUUUGUAAAAUUUUUAAUGAUUUUCUAAACUCAGAACAGAGGACUCCAAAAAUAGUUUUGACCCUGUCUCACUAAAAUUCACAUAUCUUAAAAUAUAAAAUUCAUUUUGCUACACCAUUAUUUUUAUAUGAAAGUAGACUAAAUAAUAUUUAAUUCUAUAUAGCAUUCACUUUCUAAUUCAUUUUAUACUAUCCUAUGUGAUUUUUCAAAUUCACGUCACUGUUGCUGCUUGAAAUCUGUUUCUUUGCAAAUUUUUCUCUUUCAUGAUUUCUAUGCAUGAUUUAUCACCUAAACAUUUAUAACAACAAACACCUUCAUACUAGCCAUUUUAACAAUCAUUCAUCAUCAAAUACUUACAUAUCAUUCUUUAGAAAAAUCAUAAAUACUAACAUUCAAAAUAACUAAGUCCCUAUACAUGUCAUAACCCAAACAUGGUUCAUCAUAAAAUACCGAGUUGUUGUCGUUGAUAGUGUGGACAAUCUCCGACGUAUUUAAGUUCCCGAAAGUAGCUCUACAAUACUAUAUGAGAAAGAAAAAUAAAAGAAGUAAGCAUAAAGCUUAGUAAGUUUACUAGCAAAUAAAUAACAACAUUUAACACUAAUAAUUAAACUCAAAUGUCAAGAUCUCUAGUUUACUCUUUAUUUAAUCUCAUUCUCGUUCUCUUGCUGGUUUACUAAGUUAACUCAUGAUCGUAACUUAUUCUUCUCUUGCUGAAACAUUGAGUACCAAUUGAUAAUAUAGUAAGUUCUUAACUCUUAUAACUCAUCUGAGCUUGCCAUUUAUGCUUUUAAAUGAACUUUCAUUAACAUGAUUCGUUUACUAGCCCGUUGAGCCACGUUGGAAUAAUAAGGAUACUUGGGUCUUUUCUGAUAGUAACAUGUUAAAGCCAUGUCCCAAACAUGGUCUUACAUGGGAUGUUCUUAUAUCGGUGCCCAUGCCAUGUCCUAGACAUGGUCUUACGGGGGACCUUUCAUCUCGGUGCCAAUGCCAUGUCCCAGACAUGGUCUUACAUGGGACCUCUCAUCUCGGUGCCAACGCCAUGUCCCAGACAUGGUCUUACAUGGGACCUCUUUACCCAAAUGUCAUGGCAUUUGUAUCUGAUACAUUCAUCAUGUUUCAACGGGGCUUUUUAACACCGAUUCACUGUCAUCUCAUACUUGAGUCAACAUUAAAUAAAUUCAUAAAAUAAAUGCAUAAUUGCUGGAAAAUAACAAUAUUAAUAAUAAUUAUUGAAAUAUUGUAUUUAUUUACCGUAAACUUACCUCGGUACAAAAUAUAGCCAAAUUCACCAACUUAGCCUUCAACUUUAUUCUUUCCUUUGUCUAACCUCAAGUUUCAUUCUUCUUGAUCUAAAAUAGCAAAUUUAACUCAUUUAAUACUCACAUUUAUCAAAACAGCCCUCAACUCUAACUUUGGAAAAAUUACAAUUUUACCCCUAAACUUUUACAUAAUUACAUUUUUUCCUCAAGGCUCGGAAAUUAAACUUCAUCUCAUAUUCUUAUGUUUUAUGACAUGCUGAACAUUUUUCCCUUCUAUGGCAACAUAAAAUUUCUACUCUAACACUUAUAAACAUUAGGUAUUUUUACUGAUUAUGUCAACUUACUCGUUUUCACUUAAAAUCGCUUAGCAAAAGUUGUUUAACAUAAUUUCUAGUUUCAUAUUCCACCAUAAAACAUCAAAAUAAACAUAUUUCACCUAUGGGUAUUUUUCCAAAUAUGAACCCUAGGUUAAAUUAUUGCUAGAAUAGGCUAAAUUAAGCUACAGGGAUCUUAAAAACGUAAAAAACAUUAAAAACGGGGCUUGGGAUCACUUACUAUGGAGCUUGGAAGCUUGAAAACCCUAACUAUGGCUUCUCCCAUUGCUAAAUUUGGCCUAAUGAAGAAGAUGAUCAAAAAUUGUCUUUUAAUUUUGUUUUUAAUUCAUUUUAAUAACUAAAUGACUAAAAUGCCCUUAAUGAAAAACUUUAGAAACAUGCCUAACCAUGUCCAUUUUUGUCCACCAACUUAACCAAUGGUCUAAUUACCAUGUAAAGACCUCCAAUUUAAAAUUUCAUAACAAUUGGACACCUCUAACAUAUAGAACUCAACUUUUGCACUUUUUACAAUUUAGUCCUUUUGAUUAAAUUGAGUGCCCAAACGUCAAAAUUUUUGGAUGAAAUUUUCAUGAAAUCUUUCCGUGAAAUUGUAGGCCAUAGAAAUAUAAUAAAAAUAAAUUUUUCCUCAUCGGAUUUGUGGUCCCGAAAUUACUGUUUCGAUAACCUUAAAUUUGGGCCAUUACACAAUCACUCCAAAUAUGUCGUGAAAGUAGUGACAGGGUCAAUUGUCAAUGUGUCUACUGAUGCUGAUGUUAAAGCUUUUGUUGUGUUGAUGGAGCUUAUCCUUAAUCAUCUAAGACCAGUGUUUAUUUUUUUUCCUGAAUUGUAUAGUUCCAGUCAUUAAAUGAAUUAAUGAAUUUUCCUUUUAAAAAUAAACUAUUUGAUUUUUUAAAUAUUUUUAUUAAAAAUUUAUUUUAUACUAAUUUUAGGGAAAACUACACAGAUAGUCACCCAACUAUAAAAAUUUUCAUUUUGGGCAUCCAAAAUAAAAGUUUGCAAUUUAAGCACUCAUGCUAUAUAGUUCAGUCAUUUUGGUCACUCCCGUUAAAAUCACAAACGACAAGCUAACUUGAUUGUUAAAAAAUCGGUAUAAUAAUAAAUUUAGCCCUCAACUUUUAUAUAUUAUAUCGUUUUAAUCAUAAUUUUUAAAAAAUUAACCAUCGAAAUUUAUAAAUAUUCUCAAUUUGAUCCUAAUUCUAAAAAUUUUAAAAAUAUAUAAAAUACAUAAAUAUUUUUAAAAAAAUAUAAUAAUAAAUAUAUAGAAAUAGAAAUUUGAUUGUUGACAAAAAAUUAUAUAUAAAAAUAAAAAAUAUAUAAAAAUACAUAAAUAUUUUUCAAAAAAAUAUAAUAAUAAAUUUAAAAUUUAUAUUAGCAUUAAUAUUAAAUAAAAAUAUUUAUAUUGAUAUUAAACAAAAUUAAAAACCCUACCUCACCCCAUCCUUCUUCCCCACACCCUAUAUAUAUACUCCACUAAUCUCUUCAUUUUUUUUGUCCCUUUCCUUCGGACCUCUCUUUCCAGCAAUUGAAAAACAAAUAAUUUCCAUGUUGGUUUUAUUUUUUAUUUUUCGAAUUUUUUUUAUCUUCUUCUUUUUGUCUUGAAAGGGUAGUCUUUAGUUGGAGUCAUUAGAUUCCUAUGUGUUCAACAAGUGCAAAAGGAAGAAAGAAAAUGAACUAGUGAUUGUAGAAUUCAACUAAAAGUGUUAUCUUGGGUGUUCAUUAAAUGUUCAUUGUUAAUUAAUAUUCUUGGAAUGAUGCUUUAUCUAAAGCCUGAAGCUUUGGAUGAAGACCAUCAUCCUCAAAGUCCUAUUGUCCUAAUAGUAAUACCAUUAAUGACAAUGAGAAUGAGAAUUGCAAUGGUGGUAAUAAUGAGGUUUUAUUCUACCAAUCAAUUGGUAUGUCUUUAUUUAUUUUUUACUUCUUUAUUUAUGCUCAUGUAUUUUUUUUUUAGUUUUGUUAUGUUGAAUGCAAUAUGGUUGAUAGUUUUGCUGUGGUAGCUCUAUUAAUAGGUAUUUAUAAUGAAAAAGUAGUAAGGUUUGGAGCAAGUCAAUUUCACCUGGGGAUGAAUCUUAUAACUUUUGUUCUUAGUUGGAGGUAAUUUGCAAAAACUAAUUUUAUGUUCCUUAAUUUUCAGCAAAGAGAGAGGGGGGGGACAGUGGUGGGGCAAGGUUCGGUGGGGGAGGGGGAGGCGGGUUUUUAUUCUAUUUAAUAUAUUACUUUUUCUUGUCAACAGUUUAAUAUUUUAUCUUUAUAUUUAUUUAGAAAAAAUAUUUAUAUAUUUUUUAUUUUUUAAAAUUAGAAUAAAUUUGAUAUUAUUCGUAAAUUUUGAGAGUUAAUUUUUAAAAUUAUGACUAAAUUGAUAUAAUUUGUAAAAAUUGAGAGCUAAAAUUUUUAUUAUACUAAUUUUGUUAAUUGCUACGUCAACUUGCCGUUUGUGAUUUUAACAGAGUGACCAAAAUGACAAAAUUAUAUAAUAUGGGUGCUUAAGUUAUAACCUUUUUACUUUGAGUGCUUAAAAUAAAUUAUUGAUAAUUAAGUGACUAUUCGUAGUUUACCCUUAUUUCUAAACACCAAAUUAAUCAAAUUGUUUUUUUUUAAUCAUAGAAGAAGAAACACAUAAACAAAAUAGAUGCAAACACAUAAAUAAAAUAGAUGCAAUUUUUGGUGUUAUAACACCAAUAAUAUCAACACCAAGUUGAUCAAGAAGAUAAUAAUAGAAAACACUUUGCAAUGUUUGUCCCCAAGCCAUCGAUUCUAAAGAAAGUUUAUUACCCUCCCUGUAAACAUGUUGGAUAACCACAUCCCACUCCUUUAAAUAGUCCCAAUCUUUUCAAAUUAAAUUGAUCUCCCCAUCUUUAGCAUUGUUGGUUAGUACGUUUACAACAUCAAUACUGUCCACUUCGAGAAUCAGUCGGCGUUGUCCACUCCUCCAAGCAAGUAUUAACCCUUCAACCACAUCCCACAUCUCUGCUUCCCAUAUUGAACAUGAGCAAUGAGUUUAGAAAAUCCAACAACCCAUUCUCUAUUCCAAUCCCGUAUAACACCCUCAGAAGCAGACACACCAGUAAAGGACUUAUGAGCACCAUCAAUAUUCAACUCGUACCAUCCCAAAUCAGGUUUCCUCCAGUUAGCUGACUUCACAUUCCUCGAGUAGCUGCUUAUAAUACUAUUAUCAGCAUACUCCAUCGCACCAAUACAUUGUUGCUGCAAUCACAAACUCCUUUCCGAUACCGAUUCAAGCUCUACAAAAUUACCAUAAAAAAUGAAUCUAGUCAUACGCUUCCAUAGGUUCCAACAUAAUACUCCAACUAGCACUAUCUCGAGCAAAGUAACUAAUAUUAGAAAGAUUCUGGUUCACCCAUUCAAGAAUCUGCAUAGUUAUGAAUUCAACAAGUUUCUUCUUCCAAACCAACCAUUUCCAAAUGACUGACGCUACGAUACAUCCACGAAGCACAUGGUCUAAAGUUUGAUGGAUGGGUAAAUAACACGCUUCUUGUGUUGAUACCAAAGCUAAAGAGUCCAGAAAUUGUCCAUCAACUAAGGCCUAUUAGUUUGUGCAUAGUUCUGUACAAGAUAAUUACAAAGGUAAUUGUGAAUUGAUUGAAACCGUUUAUACUGAAAUGGGUGUUACCAAACUAAGUGAGUUUUGUGCCGGACAGGAACAUUAUAUAUAAUAUUAUUAUUGCUCAGGAAAUUAUACACACGAUGAUGAGUAAGUUUGGGAAGAGAGGAUGGUUGGUGAUAAAGGUUGACUUGGAAAAAACCUAUGACCGGUUAGAGUGGAGAUUCAUCGAGGAUACUUUACUCGAUAUUGGGAUUCCGACCAAGUUAAGAACUGUUAUUAUGCAUUGUGCUAGCUUGGUCUCAACUUGGGUGGUAUGGAAUGGGAAGGUGACGGAUACUUUUGCUCCAUCUCGAGGUUUUCGACAAAGUGAUCCGUUAUCCCCUUUUCUUUUUGUUUUAUAUAUGGAGAGGCUAGUUCAAACUAUUUGUAAAUUGAUGGAUUUGGGUCUAUGGAGAUAAAUUUUUUUACUAGAAAUAUCACGAGCAUCUCACAUUUAUUGUUUGUGGAUGAUCUCGUUUUGUUUGUUAGGGCCUCAAUGGAACAAAUGAGUAUUAUUUAUCAAAUUAUCAAUGAUUUUUGUGCUUGCUCGGGCCAUAGAGUGAGUGUGAAAAAGAUGAAAAAUUUAUUUUUUGAAGAAUGUUGAGGACAACCUCAAACAAUAAUUGAGUGAUAUGGUUUUGCAUGAGUGAAUGAUCUUGAAAAGUAUUUGUGUAACAGCUUAAUUUUCAGUGGUGUCGGAAACAAUGACCUUAGAUCACUAAAUCUGACCAGUGAGUUUUAAAAUAUAAUAAAUAAAUAAAUAUGAGUCAAAUGUGAUUAUAGAAGAAUUUUGGAUUUGUGAAUUUUGUGAUUUAAAAAGAAAUUAAUAAGUAAAUUGGGUCUAAAACGAGGUAUCAAAACCUCAAACUCAUAAAUUGAGCCAUAAAUAUAUUUAUAAAUAUUUAUAGAGUGUUAUUGAUUUGAUAUUAAAGUUUCGUUAGAAAAUUCUAACGUUUGGAUGGUCAAUUAAUUAAAAAGGACUAAAUUGAAAAUAGUGCAAAAUUUGAUAUAUUAUGAUUAAAUAGCUUAAGUGACUAAUAAGGAGGGAUUUAAAAGGUAAGAAAAUCAGCAAGAAAAUAAGGAGAAACAAGGGCAAAAUUGGAAAUUUUGCAAAUUAAACAUAUAAAACAAAGACAAAAUUGAAAAAUCUAUAGAUUUCUUCAUAAUUCAUCAGAAAAAACGCCAUAGGAGGUCUGAAACAAGCUUUUUUCUCAUAUUUUUAUACCAUGUGAGUUCAAUUCUUCUUUUUUCUUUGAAAUUUUUAUGUUUUGUUACUUUUACAACUAGGUCCAACUAUUGAAUUCAUUAGUUUUUGAUUCCAUGGGUGAUUUUGCAAGUUACCAUGAAUAAGUGCUGGAAGUUUAUGAUGAAUUAUCAUAGAUUUGAAGCUUUAAUUUCAUUAUAUUAUGAUUUUAUUAAGUGAUUUUAGUAUAAAAUGAUUUUUCAGACCUAAUUGUGAAAAAGCUAGGAAUUGGGAUUUUGAACUGAAAUUCUGAAUAUAAAGGGUUGUAUAAUAGCCUAAAAUGAUUAGAUAAAGUGUUAUUUGAGGAAGAAUUAGUUUAAUUAAAGUGUUAAUUAAGUAGGGACUAAAUUAUAAAAACUAUAAAUUUUGAGGUAAAAGUAUAAUUUUAAAAAUUGAAGGGUAUAGAUUGCGAAUUAAGCAUACAUUUAUAUAUAAAGUACUCAGUGCUUAGUAAGUUCGUAUAACAGAAAUUAACUUACCAUACAUUUAUACAUAAAGUAAGCAUACAAAAUGCAUCCAAAGCAAUUUGGCCAUUUGCCUAACACAUAACUUCACCAGGCAUGUUAGUCUUUCAUUUCAUGUAAAUAUCAACAAUAAAAAUGAGCUCAUCAAAUAUAAAAAUAUAAUCUGAUGUAAUUAAUGUAUAUACGGGUAUUGAUUAAUCUUGAUUUCAUAUGUUCUUAUAUCAGAAUUUCACCCGUUAAUUUAUUUGAAAUCUUGAUGGAUACUUAGGUAGUACACCUGAAGUGUACAAUAAUAUAAACCCGUCAAUUCAUAUCCAAGAGUGCUUUUAUGAACACUUAAACAGAAAGCUCUCUCUCAAGAACUAUAACGGGAAGCUCAUUGAGCCUUGUACAGGAAGCUUAUCCGGGCAAUAUAAUGGGAAGCUCACAAAGAGCCUAUAACAGGUAGCUCCGAAGAGCAAUUAAAGGGUAACACCGGAUAGCCAUAUAACGGGAAGUUUAAGCGAGCAGUAACGGGAAGCUCACAAAGAACCUUUAAUCGGGAAGCUCACAAAGAACCUUUAAUCGGGAAGCUCACAAAGAGCCAUAUAACGAGACACUCAUAAGAGCUGCAGUGUGCCCACAACACAUGUAAGGUCACAACCGAUCGGGAUGCUCCGAAGAACAUUUAACAGGAAGCUCGCAAGAACACUAUAUAAUGGGAAGCUUGAGAGGGCUUAUAACGGGACGCUCUUUAGAGCUACGAUAUGUGACACCCCCAACCUGUAUCCCUCGCUGGAACUGGGUUACGGAGCAUUACCGGAGUUUACAGAUCAAACAUACAGAAAUUUCAAACAUUUCAUAUCAUCAAAACAAGUCAUCAAAGCAUCAUUUUAAUCCAAAUUAUAAACAUAUCAAAUCUAAAUCAAUUUGCCUAGUUCAUGAGCAGUUAAACAUAAAAUUAAAUUCACAUGCAUCUAUCUAGAUUUAGUUCAAUUUAUCAUGCCAUAAUAUGGCUUAAAAAACAACUACAUAUUUAUAUGUAUAAAACCAACCAAAAUUAAACUUAUAACCUCAUUUACAAUCAAACCACAAAAUAACUAUUAUUUAGACACCCUAGGUACAUGCCGACACAAAGGAUAAACAUCACCAUAUUUGAAUUCGGGAUUGUUGUUGGAUGCUGAAUCGGUGAUCAAAAGUUAAGCACUUAACCUACGUACGAGAAACAAAACCGUACGCUGAGUAUAAACUCAGUGGUAUUUCUAUAAUCCGAAUAUUUAAAGAUAAGAAAUUACAAAUAUACAAUUGAAAUAUAAACACAUAUUAAUAUUUAAUUAUUACAAUAAUCAUAUCAUAUUUCAUUUGUUUCACAAAUAUCUCAAUUCUCAUACUUGCUAUAUAAAUAGUUUUCACAAUUUAUUUCACAUUUCAUUAUACAAUUGCAAUAUCCAUUCCAUAGUCAUUUCAUGAGUAUAUAACUCAUAUAUUCCAUAUAUUUGCAACGUAUUUCACAUUCUAUUUCCAAUUCACUAUUUCACUUCCAUUUCUCAUACCAUGCCAUUUCAAUAUCAAAUGCCAACUCAUUUACCCCUAUUAACACGACUCGGACUCGGACGGAUACAUGAAUCCAACCAAACACACCAGUUUGGCACCCAAUGCCUCAUCAGAUAAUUCGAAAUAUUAAUUUGACACCUAGUGUCUCAUCGAUUAAACUGAAGUAAAUUGGCACCCAGUGCCUCAUCGAAUUAAUUCAAAGUAGUAAAUUGACACCCAGUGUCUCAUCAACUCGAAGUCAAAGAAAUCCCUGAACUCUUCUAAUCUUAUGGCAUGCCAUCUAUAUCAGACUCAGCCCGAUACAAUUAAUAGGGUUUUAAAUUUACUUUUCAAAUACAACCAAUAUUCAAUUCAAUUCAAAUAAUCAAUAUAUUCAAUAUAUAUACCAAUUCAAUCAAUAUAAAUUUAAUAAAUUCAUCACAUAUUAAAUCAAUCCAUUUCAAUUGCAAAACACAAUAAUUCUCACCUCAACACUUACCAUAUACAUUAAAUUAAAAAUACAACAAUUAAUAACUAGUUUCGGAUUAUAGAAAUACAAACCAGGAAUUCCGAACUAUUCCACGUCGACUUUAUCUUUCCCCUUUUUAGUUUAGGAUUCUGGUAUGACGUUAGCUACGGAAUUAAAACAAUUAAAAUUCAUCACUAUAAUACAAUUCAAUUUCAUAUUGCAUAUUUCAAUUUUUACUCAACAUUUGUCUAGAUUCCAAUUUAGUCCAUAAACCGAGACUAAUUUAUUUCUUAACAAUCAAUUAUAUAUUUUUAUUCAAUUUCCACUUUAAAAUAGAUUUAACUCUUUAAUUUCACUUAAAUCCCUAAAUUUUUAAAUUUUCACAAUUUAGUCCCUAUUACUCAAAAUUUACAAUGUAUUCUACAAUCCAAUCCUUUUUCACUUCUAACUUAAAAAUCUAUCAAUUUAAUCCCUAAUAAUAAAAUUAUUCAACAUUAACAACAUUUAAAAACUUAAUAAUUUCUAAAAUUUUGACAUGGGUCAGGUAGUAUUUAAUAUCGGGAUUCCAAAAACAUAAAAAUUACAAAAAAAGGAUUAAAUUGACUAACCAAUUAAAUUUGGAACUUUUAAAACCUUAAGGCCCUUCGUCUGUUUCUUUCUCCUUUUUUUUUCGUUUUGCUUCUCUGUUUCGUUUCUACCUUUCUAUUUCUUUUUCUUUCUUUCUUUCUUUUUGUUUGUUUUAUUAUUAUAAUAUAUAAUAUAUAUACUUAUAUAUUAAGUAAACUUAUUUUAAUAUAAUAUAUAUUAAAUUCACAUAUAUUUAACUUAUGCCGCCUCACCUAAAGAAAAAUGACAUAAUUUUGUGAAACUUUAGGGGUAAAAAUGUAGUUUUUCCAAAGUAUGAUUUUUGGACUAAAUUGAAUAAUGAGAGUGUUAAACAAGUUAAAUAUGUUAUUAUAAAUCAAGAAAGACGAGAAAUUGACUUUGAUCAGUGAGAAAGAAAAGUGAGAAAAAGUGAAAUUAUGAAAAAGUACAUUUAGCAACAAACAGUUUAGACAGCAACAGUUGUGUGACUUUGAAAAAUCACCAAAAAUGGUGAAAAUUUAAUUAUAGGCUGAAUAAUGUAUGAAAUUAAAACUUAAUGAGUCUAUUUUUACAUAAAAGAGACAGAGAAAGCAAAAGAAUUUUAUAUUAUGAGAUAUUUGAAUUUUAGUGAGACAGGGCUAGAAUGAUUUCGAAAUCUCAUGUUCUGACUUUGGAAAAUCAUUAAAAAUUGUAAAUUAAUAAUAAUGGGAUAAAAUUUAUAUGUUUAGAACCCUGAAUGAGUUUAUUUUCAAAAGAAACAAACGAUAACAUUAUCUGAAUUCUGUACUAUGAAAUAAUUAAUUUUUAGUGAAGAAGGGUCAGACCUGUUGAGCAGUGAAACAGGGGAACUUUAAAGAAUAAACUGCACUUAUUGGCUAAGCCAAAAAUUAUAAAAAAUUUAUGGUAAUAAAAUAUGUGAGUCUAGUUUUAGGUAAAAUUAUCGGAUCUUAAUUUGGAGCUUGGUAGCUCGAGAUAUAAAUAAAUUAGUGACUCUGACUCUGACUCUGACAAACAGUUUGAAUUUACAUACAAGAAAAUAGUGAAAGUAUGGAUAAUGUUAUUUAAGUGUGUUAUACACAUUAAGGAUGUGGAAUGGAGAGUAGGAGGAGGAAAAUUGGAAAAUAUAUGAAUGAUUUGUGUAUAAUUGGCCAUAUGCUUGAUUAUGAUUGAUAAACGAUGAAAUAGAAAUAAUGCUUAUGUUUGUGCAUGAUUGGUCAUGGUUUAACCUCAUGUGGGAAAAUAAAGUUUUAUUGUAUGUGUGUAUGGUAUAUUUGGAAUAUGAUUUGGCUUGAAGUAAUGUCAUGAAUGGUUUAUGAAUUAACACAUGUUGGUAAGUUUGAUACAUGAACAAAUGUUGUUUUCAUCCAUGCUUAUAAUGCUUAUGCUAUAUGUUUAUUUGGGUUCACAUAUUUGGUGUACAUGCUUAGGCUUUGGCCAAGUUGUGGUUGGAUUAUGCCAUGUUAAAAUUAUAAGUUAUGCAUUGAGAUGGUAAGUGCCUAAAUGGAAAUAUGCUUGUGAUCAUGACAGGGGUGGUAAGGUUUAAAUUAUGUAAUCUUUAGUGAAAUGGUUUAUCAUGUGGUUAGUUCCAAAAAGAAUUAUGUUUAAAUGCAUUAACUUGCGACUAUGGUUGAAUGAUAUGUUUAUGUCUUGUGUGAUAUGUAUAGGAAACGGGUGUGGAAAGGUAAUGAAAUAGUAAGUUCAUAUUUGAAGCGAAAAAUGACGAAAAAAGGGAUGAUGAGUUUAAUUGAUGUUGUUAUUUAAGCUAAAGUGAUAUUUUCAUUGCAAAAUUGAGAAUUUCAUAAAUGUGUUAAUGAAUGAUAUAGUCGAUAAAUGUUGAGUUAAAUGGUAAAUAUGUAUUAGUAUUGAACUUACUAAUAUUGAAUUGUACGUGAAUUAAAUGGAAAUUGCUAGUGAUAGGAUUUGAAUUGUGAGCAUGAAUAAAUUGUGAAUUGAAUAAAAAGAAAUGAAGCAUUGAAUUGCAUGAGUAUGUAUCGGGUCUCGUAGGCCCUAUUUAUUAUGAUUAUAAUAUAUUGAGGAUAUAUUGUGAAGAAUUAUAAAAGUAUGUUAAUAAUUUGAAAGUUUUAAUUUAGAUGAAAUUUUAUAACUCGGUUCAGUACGUUUACAAGUGUAUGUGUUCUGGUAAUGCCUCGUACCCUAUUUUGGUGUUGAAUACGGGUAAGGGGUGUUACAAAAAAAAUAUUUACGAGUCUAAUUUACGGGAACGGAGUCCCAGGAAUGCACUUUUUUUAGUUUGAUCAUUUUUAAUUAAUUAACCAUCGAAACGUUAAAAUUUUUUAACGAAACUUUAAUACCACCUUAAUGACACUCCGUAAAUAUUUAUAAAAAUAUUUAUGGCUCAGUUUAUAAAAACAAGGUCCCUAUACCUCAUUUUCUAAAACCACUUGAACUUAAUAAAUCACUUAUAUAACAUAAAUUAUCAAAUCAAAAACUUUUUUUUAAAUCACAUUUUACUCGUAAAUACUAAAUAAUAAUAUUUACGAACUUACUUGUCGAAUUUAUUUGCCCCAAAACCACUAUUUUUGACACCAUUGAAAAAUGAGCUGUUAAACGGUAUGUCCGCAACAUAUGCAGGACCACUACCUUUUCAGGAAACAGAACCUUGUAUCCAAUCGAAUUUCAUUCAUUCAAACGUGAUUUAACAUUUAUCGGGUAUUUUCCGGAUAUAUGAUUAGAUUUCAUAUACAAAUCAUUCAAAUCAAUUCGAACAUAUAAUUACACAAUUAAGUUACACGAACUUACCUCGACAAUGUUCAUGAGUCGUAAUCUACCAAUCCGUUACUUUUCUUUACCUCGAUCUAGCUCCGUAUUUUGUCUUUUCGGAUCUAUACGAGUAAAUUAACUCAAUUUAAUACAAUUUCAUACUCAUUUCAAUCCAAUUUACAUCUUAGGAAAAAGUACCAUUUUGCCCCUAUACUUUUGAUUCAUUCCAAUUUCAUCCCUAGGCUCGAUAAAUGAAAUUCAUGCAAUUUAAUCCUUAUUCCAAGAUCAGUCAAAUUUUACAUGUAUCAAUAGCAGCCCAUGUAUUUCACAAAAAUUAGAAUUUUUCCAUGAAUUUUACUUUUUUACAAUUUAGUCCCUAAAUCACAUUUUCAUCAAAAUUCCUUUAAGAAAAGUUGUUUACCUAUCAACAACCUUUCAUUUUCUACCAUCAAAGUUCAUAAUUCAACUAUAUUCAUCCAUGGAAAAAUCCUAGAACUUUGAUAACUUUGCAAAUUAAUCCUCAAAAUAGCUUAAUUAUGCUAUUACAAUCUCAGAAACAUAAAAAUUACUAAAAACGGGACAAGAAUUCAUACCUAAUUAAGCCAAGAAAGCUUGAUUGAGAUAUUUUCUCUUAGCUAGGGUUUCCAUAAAAAAAUUUGGGAAAGGUGAUGAUAAAUGAUGAUAUUUUCUUUAUUUAAUCAUUUAUCAUCUUUUAAUAUCUUUUAUUUCCAAUUUCAUCCUUUUCUUUAAUUAAAUUUCCAUGAAUGAAUCAUCAUCCUUAUCUAUUAACUUCUCUUAAUGGUCUAUUUGUCAUAUAAGGACCUCAAACUUUGAAUUUCAUAGCUAUUUGAUACUUAUAGCUACUAGAACCCAACUUUUGCAUUUCAUGGAAUUUGGUCCUUUUAUCAAUUAAACAUGUAAUCGGUAAAAUUUUCUUAACAAAAUUUUCAUACGAUUUUCUUAUUAUAAUUUAGACCAUGAAAUAAAAUUAUAAUAAUUUUCUUUUCGUAUUCAAAUUUGUGGUCCCGAAACCACUGUUCUGAUUUCACUGAAAAUGGGUUGUUACACUAUUAAAGUGUUAGGGUUUUUCCAUGGAUGAGUACAGUUUAAUUAUGAAGUUUUAUGGUAGAAAAAUGAAAGAUUGUUGAUAGAUAAACAACUUUUCGAAAGAGAAUUUUGAUGAAAUUAUGAUUUAGGGACUGAAUUGAAAAAAUGAGAAAUUUAUGGAAAAUUUUUAAAUUUUGUUAAAUACAUGGGCUUCUAUGGAUAUGUAUGAAAAUUAAUUAGGCUUGAAAUAAGGAUUAAAUUGCAUGAAUUUCAUUUUUUGAGCUUAGAGAUAAUUGUAAUUAAUUAAAAGUAUAGGAGCAAAAUAGUAAUUUUGCCAAAGAUGUGUACUAGAUUGAAUUGAAUAUGAAUGAUAUUAAAUUGAGUUAAAUUCAUUCGUACAAAUCCGAAUAGACCUAAUACGGAGUUAGAUCGAGGAAAAGAAAAAGUAUUAGAUUAGUAGCCUACGAAAUUGUGAACAUUUGUCGAGGUAAGUUCAUGUAAUUAAAUUGUAUAUUUGUAUUAUUUGAAUUGAAUAUUGUUGUGUGUGUGAUUUUUAUAAAAAGCCAUAUAUAUUAUUGAUCACAUAUUCGACAAGUACAGAAUCCCGUUUGAACCUUAGACAUUCAAUGGAUACAAAUGAUAUGUCAUUAGGUUUCCGGAUUGGUUGUGGUCCUACAUGUGUUGCGGACACACCACAGCUCUUAUGAGCAUCCCGAUAUUUGGCUCUCACGAGCUUCCGAUUAAUGGCUCUUAUGAGCUUCCCGAUAUACAGCUCGAUUGAGCUUCCUGUUAUACAGCUCACAUGAGCUUCUCGUUACAUGGCUCAAAAGAGUUUCCCGUGUACAUGCUCGUAUAAGCAUACCUGUAUAUGAAUUGAUGGAUUACAUAUUUGUACACCUCGUUUGUAUUACCCGUGUAUCCAAUGAUAUUUUAAAUGGUUCAACGGGCUAAGUUUUGAUUUGAGAUAAUAUAAGUUUGAAACGAACUAUUACCCAUGUAUACAUGAAGUACAUAGAAAUGAUAUUACUUGAUAUACUGAAGCAUGAAAUGAUUGUUACAUGUAUGUGAAACUUGCUUGAUGACUUUGUUCAUCCAUGAUGAUGGGCUAUUAUAUGUGUUUAGGCUUUUGUCCAAGUUGAUUUGAAAUAUGUUUUGUAUGCUUACCUUAAAUGUAAUUGAAUGGUAAGUUAAGUUGUUAUACGAACUUACUAAGCGUAAAUGCUUACUCUAUUUUAUUUUCCCUGUUUUAUAGUAACUUGGAAGCUCGUUUUGGUUGGAAGUUGGUCAGAGGUGAUUCGCACUAUCCAUAGGCCUUUUUGGUACAUAUAGUAAACUAAUUUUGGUUAUAAUGGCAUGUAUAAGUUAAUUUGGCCAAUGUUGGCAUAAAAUUAUCUUGUUUAGACUAGCCAUUAGAGUGGCUUGUGUUUGAUAUAUUUUGAGAUGUAUAUAUAUGGCCUUAUCAUGAUUAAUGUGUGUUUGGUAUGGUUGAGUGAUGAAUAAUUUAUAGGCAUAUUGAAGAUUGGUUUGAGAUAGUAUGUUUGGUACAAAUUUGCAUAUAUGUGUAUUUUGUUAAUUUGGUAAGUUUGGAUACUUGGAUAUAUGUGUUGAAAUGUCAUGUAUAAAACUUGAUUUUGGCUUGAUUUGAAUGUCUUGUUAUGGUUUGUUGAUGUCAAAAAAUGUUGAGAUGGGUUGAUGACAAAUUGGGUGAGAAAUGUGGCUUGAAAAUGACUUAUUUUUGUCCACACGGGCAGAGACACAGGCGUGUGUCUCAGCCGUGUCAGGUGACACGGUCGUGUGUCCCCUGUAUCUUUUAAAUUUUGCAAGUCAGUAUGCUCACACGGCCUAGCACACAAGCGUGUGGUUUGGUCGUGUGACCUCAGUCAGAGAGUUACAAGGGCACGGACACGGCUGUGUGUCCCUAUUUCGAAUGCCUACACGGCCUGAGACACGGAUGUGUCUCUUGACCGUGUAAACGACACGGCUUAGCCACACGGACGUGUGUCCCCUGUACCUUUGAAAAAUUUUAAUAUUUUUCAAAAAAUUCUUUGAAUACCCGAAUUAGUCCUGACUUGUUUCUAAUGUAUGUUUUGGGCCUCGAGGGCUCACAUAAGGGAACAUUAUGCUUGAUUUCGAUUGGUUUUUGAUAUGAAUGCUAUAUGAUAUGAAAUAUCUAUUUAUUUGUUCUGUAAAUUUCGGUAAUGCUCUGUAACCCUGUUCCGGCGACGGAUACGGGUUAGGGGUGUUACAGAAUAGGCCAAGUAUGGGAGAUGAUUCAUCAAAGAAUGGUUUGGAAUAUUCAAACGGUGAAAAUUUUAAUUUUUGGAGGGAUGCAUGGAUGGUUGAUGUAACAGCCAGAUUUUUAGUGAUGUCAGAAAUAGUGGUUCGAGGCCCCUAAAUCUGCGAGUAAGUUUGUAAAUAUUAUUAUUUAAUAUUUACGAGUCAAAUAUGAUUUUUAAUAAAAAAGAUGCAUUCUCAAGACUUCGUUCCGGUAAAUCAGAUUCGUAAAUAUUUUUAAUAAAUAUGUACAAAGCUAGCUGUGUAGUUAAUUAUGUUUUGAUUAGGUGAGUUUGACUUAAUUAAGGUUAAUUAGAUAAAAGGACUAAAUUAAAUUGAUUGUGAAAGUUUAAUUAUGAAAUAAAAAAAUCAAGGGACUAAAUUAGUAAAUAAACCAAAAAUGUGACACUUGUGUGGUAAUAAUAAAAUACAUGUGUAAUAAAAUAUAUACAUACAUUUGUAAUAAUAUGUAUAAUUUACUUAUUAUUUAAGUAUAAGAUAUUUUAGAUUAAAAUAUUUUUAUAUUAUAUUAUUAUAUUACAUUAAUUAAUCAAAACAAAAUAAAGAAAUGAAAUAAAAAGAACAAAGGAAAGAAACAGAGAAGCAAAACGAAAACAGGGGAGAAAGGAAAGAAAAAGAAAAAAAGGGAAUGAAAGAAAGAAAAUUUGGGAUUUUAAGGUUCAAGGUUUGGUUGGUAAGCUAAUUUAGUCUAUUUUUUUAUAAUUUUGAUGUUUUUGGAAUCCCAGAACAAAAUACUAUUUGAUUUAAGUUGAAAAUUUGAAAGUUAGUAAAUUUUUAGAUGUUGUUCAUGUUGAAUUAAUUGAUGAAUUAGGGGUUAAAUUGAUUGAAUUUUUUAAAUUAGUUUAAAGUGGGAAUGGAAUGAAAAUAUGAAAUUAGUUUUCAGAAUAAAAGUUAGUCUUGGUUCAGCGACUAAAUUGGAAUUUUGACAAAUAUUGAGUAAAUAUUAAAAUAUUUAAUGUGAGAUUGAAUGGUGUUGUAUUGAUAUUUUUAAUUGUUUUAAUUCCGUAGCUUGCGACGUACUGGAAUUCUCGACUAAAAGGGGAAAAAAUAUAGUCGACGAGGAAUAAUUCAGAAAUCUUGUUUUGUAUUUCUAUAAUCCGAAUCUAAUUAUUAAUUGUUGUAUUUUGAUUAAAUGUUAUAGUAAGUGAUUGAGGUGAGAAUUAUUGUGGUUUACAAUUGAAAUGGAUUGUCUUGGUAUGUAAUGAAAUUAUAUUGGUUGAAUUGAAUUUGAAUAUAUAUAUUAUGAAUAUAUAUGUGUAAAUGUGAAAUUGUGCAAAUAUGAUAAUUGGAUUAUUAUAUAUAUAUAAAAUUCAGUUUUAAUGCCCAAGUAGACGGAAUUUAGAACUACUGGGAUAUUAGUGGCAUGUCAUUAAAGAACUUUAGCGCACUCUCUUAUUAUUAGCACGUUGGUGCUCUCUGAUUACUAGCACGACAGUGCUUUCCGUUUAGCACAUCUGUGCUCUCUGUUCAUUAGUGCAUAAUAAUGCACCUCUGUAUUUGUUCCGUAUAUCCGGUGUGUUCUAUAAAAUCUACUUUGGGAUAAGAAUAUGAGAUAGUAAACUGAAAAUAGAAUGUGAAAUAUGUUUUAAACACAUGGAAGACACGAGUUAUAUAUUCAUAAAUUGAUUGUGGAAUGGAUAGUGCCAUUGUUUAAAUGAUACGUGAAUAAAUGAUGGAAAUGUAUUACAUAUAGCAAGUGAUGACAAUUGAGUAUUGUGUGAUUUUAAAUGUUCAAUUGUGUUUAACAUUUUAUUAUACAUAUUUUAUUGUUUUAUUUUUUUAAAAAAAUUUGGAUUAUAGAAAUACCACUGAGUUUUUACUCAGCGUACGGUUUUGUUUUCCGUGCGCAGGUUAAGUACUUAAGUUUGAUCGCUGAUUCAGCAUCCAACAAUGAUCCCGAACUCAAAUAUGGUGAUGUUUAUUUCUUUGUGUCGGCAUGUACCUAGAGUGUCUAAAUAUUAGUUAUUUUGUAGUUUGAUUGUAAAUGAAGUUAUAAGAUCUAUUUUGGAGAGUUUAUAAUUUGGAUUAAAAUGAUGCUUUAAUGACUUGUUUUGAUGAUAUAAAAUAUUUGAGAUUUCUAUCUGUUUGAUCUAUAAUCUCCGGUAAUGUUCCAUAACCCAAUUCCGACGAGGGAUACAGGUUGAGGGUGUUACAGUUGACAUUAGACCACUAAUUGAUUAAUUGGGUUGAUAAGAGGAAUAGUGCCAGAAUCAUAUAUGGGUCAGUGGCUUCAAUGGUUACACCAAAUGGUGAUUGAAAUUGGAGUUUAUUGGAAAAUGCUUUACCAUGUAAUAUUUUGCUUAAAUUAGCAAUAAUGCUUUCGCCGGACAAGGGGGCAAUGUAGAUUAUUUGGCUUGGAGAUAGGAUGCUAAUAGGAGAUUCACUAUCAAAUUGACCUACUCAAUGGCGUCAAAUAAUUUAAUGGAAGGGUGCAAGAAUGGUGGAAACCAGUAUGGCAUUUCAGAGAACCCUAAAGAAUUCGAAUUUUCUUAUGAUUAAUGUGCUUGAAUAAAUUGUUAACAAACAAUGAAAAGAAGAAAAAGCAUAUGAUCAUUCAGGUGUGAUGUGUGCAAAAUCAAUUUAUUUUCUAAUAUAAUAUUAGAUAUAGAUGCAAUAUCUAUAAAAGAAACUAUAUAUUAAAUUUUAUGUUCAUAUAAAAAAUAAAUAUGAUAAGAACAUAGACCUAAAAAUUAAUAUAUAAUAAAUUAUAAAACAAUUUACUACAUUUAUUAUUAGUAUUUAACAACAAUGAAGGUAAAAAGAAAUUACUUAAUUAAUCUCUCGUACUAAUAGCAUCCUUGAAUUUAGUGCGUCGUGAUUAUGGGACAAAUCCAUCCAUCUUGGAUUGGAUAACCCCCCCCCCCCAACACAUCAACAAAAUUUGUUGGAAAAAGAUAAAAUGAAAAGUGGGCAUGGCAUGCAGUGCACGUGAUAUUUAAAAUGUUAAAUUUACUAACGUGGCGUAUAUUUAAACUAGAUCUCACGGUUAUCAACUCACCUCGUUUUCGCUUCCUACCAUUUUUAUUACAUUUUCACGAAUCUGUAAUUUUAACUAAUUUUCCUCCAUCUUCUUCAAUGAUUAUGUAAAAGCCUGCAAAAUCUCAGUUGUCCAGUACAAUGGCUACCCUCUCCUUUUCUCCCCUCAAACCAAACACGUUAUUUUCUUCUUUUCUGUUCCCUUCUAAAAACUUAUCCUCCCGACCAAUUAUCUAUACUCUUCCUCAUCGAAACACUCCUCCACUCACUUUCUCUGCUGCCAAACGCCCUCCCGCCGCAUCCGCAACCAAUUCAUCCUCUUCCGUUACCGUCGAAACCGUCUCUCCUGAAAAUGACGCCAACUCAACCGUUUUCGUCAUCCGUGCGCGUAACCGUACCGGUCUCCUCCAAGUUAUCACGCGCGUCUUCAAUAUCCUCGGUCUUAGCGUCGAGAAGGCCACCGUAGAUUUUGAAGAAGACUAUUUUGUCAUGACGUUCUUCGUAACCGAUUCCCGCGGCAACAAGAUCGAUGAUCAGAAGAGCUUGGAAAGUAUCAACAAGGCCUUGAUCGACGCAAUCGACGGUGACGAUGAUGCCGCCUUGUCUGUGGCUCCGCCAGAUAGAGGGGUCGUGGUAAGGAAGCCUCGGUUGGAUUUUGGGGAGAGGAAAGGCCAAGCUGAAAGGAUGCUUGGAUUGAUGGAUGUUUUCUUGAAGAACGACCCGAUCAGCUUACAAAAGGAUAUUUUACAUCACGUUGAGUACACGGUGGCUCGAUCGCGAUUUAGUUUCGAUGAUUUUGAAGCUUAUCAAGUAAGAUUAAAGUUUCGUUGUUGGGUUGAGAACGAAUUUUGACUUCCUUUUUAAAAAUUUGGCGGGAAUGUAUGGUAUAACUUAAGUGCGAUUGUUUAACAGGCUUUGGCGCACAGCGUAAGAGAUCGGUUGAUUGAACGUUGGCAUGAUACUCUGAUACAUUUCAAGAAGGAAGACCCAAAGCGAGUUUACUUUCUUUCGCUUGAGUUUCUUAUGGGUAUACUUUCUUACCGUUAUGAGCCUUAUAAUGUUUGGUCUAAUUAAAAUGAUGGAUAAGUUUAAGAGCUCUCGAGAAGUUUGGUUAUGCUUUCUGUUACUCUCCUAGCACCUAUAGUUUAUCAAAUCUAGAGGAUCUGACUUUGGUUUCUAUUACAAGUAGAACUAGUUUUUGAAUUCACAUGUUAUUCUGGAUUUUCUUCAGUGCUUUAAAUAUCAUUCAUGCUAAACAACUGUAUGCAAUUUAUAUUUUCAGGGCGUUCGUUGUCAAAUAUUGUCAUCAACCUUGGAAUUCGCGACCAAUUUGCAGAUGCUUUAAGCCAGCUUGGUUUUGAUUUUGAAGUUUUAGCUGAACAGGUUAACUUGACAUUCGAUUUUCUUCUGUCCUCCUUUAUUGUCCUAAUCUUAGAUUAUUAUUAUUAGCAUAUCACGAUCCGGAAAAGUAAUUGUUUGUUUGCGAGGAGAAUUGAAUACAUCAAGUAUAUUUAUUGGAGAUCAUGUUGUGUGGUAGUCGGAGAUUUGAAACUAGGUGAAUCCAAUGGAUGGCCAUAUUCUUGGGAACCUAGAGCCACAAAACUGUAUGAUGUUAAGGUGUGCUCGUCCUUUCGAAACAGCCUCUCCUUGGAAUUAGAGCUCGAGGGAGAUCUCUGUUUGAACAAGUUAAAACUGAAUUCUUAAUCAUGUUGGAAGAAAGCUUUUCUUAUAUAUAUAUUGUACACUCAGAUAAUUAUUUACUUUCCUCUUUAUCUUAUUCAUUAUGAUAUUCUAAGGAAGGAGAUGCUUGCCUGGGUAAUGGAGGCCUUGCUCGUCUUUCAGCAUGUCAAAUGGAUUCUCUAGCAACUUUGGACUACCCUGCAGUGGGGUAUGCCUCUAUUCUAUAUUUUUCUUGUAAGAUUUGUGGAAGCAUUUCAAGUUAAAAGUAAUACAUAUAAGUCUUCCAUUAAGUAGGGGUACUGAAUCAUUAUCCAUACUGGCUUUGAAACCAAAAUGGAUUAUGGACCGUGAAGUUGACUGCUUAUCUUCUAAUUAGUAUUAGCUUAUUUAUAAUCUAUGCUAGUUUUCCUUUUUCAAAAUCAUUUAGCGAAUUCUUGCAUCAAAAUCAUGUCAUUUAGUUCAUGCAUAACUUGUAUAUCCUCAAACGAGUAUUGGCUUUUAUGUUUAAUAAUCUAAUUCUAGGGGAUUGUUUCUGCAGCUAUGGAUUACGCUACCAGUAUGGGUUGUUCCGUCAAGUUAUAGUGGAUGGAUUUCAACAUGAACAGCCUGAUUAUUGGUUAAAUUUUGGAAACCCUUGGGAGAUUGAGCGAGUUCACAUAACAUAUCCUGUAAAGGUUUGUAAGCACUUAGAUGUGUUCAAUUAUCUGUGGGAAUAUUGGAUGUUUGACUUUAUCUUUCUAUUCUUUUGCAAUUCUGUAUUGUUUACUAAACUUCUGUUCACUAUGUUUUUGGAUGGUAAAGUUCUAUGGGACGGUCACAGAUGAAUUUUUGAAUGGAGAGAAAUGUAAAGUUUGGGUUCCUGGAGAAAUGGUAAGGCUGUAAUUCUUUUCAUAAAUUGAAGCCUAGACAUUUGCAUAAAACUCUUUAUCCAUUAUUUAUACUCAUGGGCGAUGCAUGAUUUAAAUGAGUGCUAAAUUUAAGUGAAUGUGGUUGGCUUUUUUUAGCUUAGCAAUAUCUUCAUAUUCGUAGGUUGAAGCUGUGGCAUAUGACAAUCCAAUACCUGGUUAUGGAACAAGGAAUACCAUUAAUCUUCGCCUUUGGGCUGCGAAACCAAGUGAUCAACAUGAUAUGGUAAUUUCGACAAAGUCCAAUCAGUUAUGCAUGAGUUCUAUGCACACUUAGGUGGAUUAAACUAAAGUACGAAGAUCUGGCACAUAAAACUAAUUCUUAUGAUCUAGAUUCGCUAGAAAUGCUAUAGUUGGACUGAGCUAACAAUGCUGAUUUGGUAGCUUAAAACAUAGUCAUAUAUGCAAUCAUGUGUUUUUUUCUGUACGGAUCUCUUCUAUAUCCUACCCAUCAAGCUCUGCUUAGACAGCGAGGGAUUUGGAAAUCUUUUUGAAUAAUUUCUUUCAAUUGUUUUGGCUUAAUUGUUUUGAAACAUGCUUAAUCCAACUGAAGUGAUAUCAGUUAUUUGCUGUUUCAAUGUGCUUGUUUCUUUUAUCUUUCUUUUCUUUUUUUUUUCUUUAUUUCACUAUUUGCAUUUUGGAGAAUUAUAUUUUGGUGAGAGCUUAUGUUAGUAAGGUUAGCAUCUAUCCUGUCUUGUAUAGUCUUUGAGGCAGGUAUUUGAUGUCGGUUCUAGAAAGAUUUGUUAAUUAGUAAGAAUUUUGUAUAUUUCAGGUAUUUUGUUACUUUUAGUUUUAGAGACUUUAAUUUUUUGUAGGUGUUAUUUUGGAAAAUUCUUUAAGAUUCUGAUUUUUGGUUUUGUAUGAUAUUUAUUGCCAUACAUGCUUAUGGAUUCUUGUUAGUAUGCGACCUUGUUAUGUCUCAAAUUCUUGGGUUUGGAGCAUGGCAAUGCAGGAGUCUUUUAACACUGGGGAUUAUGUUGAUGCUGUAGUCAAUAGACAGAGGGCAGAAAGUAUUAGUAGCAUACUAUACCCCGACGAUCGUUCUUAUCAGGUGUGAUUGCUUUUCCUUAACUUGAUUGGUUACAUCAAGAUUAGAGUCUGCCUCAUCAAUUUUUUCAUGCUUCGUCUUCUAAAGUUUUUACUGCAAUUGUUUGAUUUAUGGGAAAUUAAAGGUACUUAGUCGGAGAUUAUUAAUGUUGCAUUCACUGAAAACUUGGUUGAAAUGUUUGCUAGGGGUUGAACAAAUAUGUUUCUUUGUCUUUCUGUAGAUCUACAUUCAUAUUUCUUUUUGGUGGUUUCUUUCAGGGUAAAGAAUUGCGGUUGAAACAGCAAUAUUUCUUUGUAUCCGCGUCAGUACAAGACAUCUUCAGAAGAUUCAAAGACACUCAUAAAAAAUUUGAUGAGUUUCCAGAGAAGGUUCUUAGCUGCAUGUUUCAUGUGUCUAUUAGUGCAGAAGCAUAUGUAGAGACACCUCAAAUCGGAUUAGUUUGUACUGAUCUGAUCAUGUAGUGAGGUGACAUGCCUUGGUUCUACCCUCCUGAAUCUUGUGUAACAUAGCUGUUCUCAAGGUUCUCUCAGGUUCUCAAUGUCACAUCCUUAACAAUUGAUUUGCUUUCAGAUGAUGGCAGUUGUGAGAUUUGAGUGAGGAAUCUUUCUCUAUACUGAGAAGGAUUUCUUUCCACUUUUAUUAUCAUCCCUAGGUUGAGUGCUGACUGCUGCUUGACUCCUGUUCUGUCAACUCCAAUUGCAUUUUAUAUAGGUUGCACUGCAGCUGAAUGACACUCAUCCAUCUCUUGCAAUAGCUGAGGUGAUGAGAGUGCUUCUGGAUGAAGAGCAUUUAAGCUGGCAUAGAGCAUGGGACAUCAUAUGCAAAAUAUUUUCGUUCACAACUCAUACUGUAUCACCUGAAGGACUGGAGAAAAUUCCUGUGGAUCUACUGGGCAACCUUCUCCCUCGACAUUUGCAGGUGUGUUUUGUUUGAAUUUUGCAAUGUACUUUCUUCUUUGAUAAAGUUUACCCGUUUCUUUGAAUUACUUUAUGUGAUUGAAAGCCUAAGUAAUUCUACUGGACAAGAUUCAUCUUACAAUAUUCUUUCAUUUAUAUCUGAUGUCAUAUGGUAUAAGCUUCAUCUUAAUAAUUUUCUUAACUACAGCAUCGUGCCUCCAAGGUACAGAAGCAUGCAUGUGGUUAAUUAUUAUUUUCCGCAUAACUCUUUCCUGUAUUACCACACUCCUUUAGAUUGUAAUUUAUUAGUUUGAUUGGUUGUCAACUUGUUUCGUACUAUUUUAGAAAAUUGCUCUUUUCAGAUUAUAUAUGACAUAAACUUCAACUUUGUGGAAGAGUUAAAGAAGAUGAUUGGUUUAGAUUAUGAUCGGCUGACCAGGAUGUCAAUUGUUGAGGAAGGUGCUGUGAAGGUAUAUAUCUCAAAUUUUAUGGGUUUCUAAAAUUUAUAUUGUGUUGAUGGAUUGCUAGAAUGUUAUGAAAAUUGAAGUCCAUAACCAUCCCUUUUGUCAGAAUAUUCGAAUGGCAAAUCUAUCAGUUAUUUGUUCUCAUACCGUGAAUGGUGUCUCCAGAUUACAUUCAGAGUUGUUGAGAACAAAAUUAUUCAAGGUAAAACUUAUAUUUGUUUUUUCCUGCUUAAACGUUGCCUUUCCUUGUAACAAGUUUGAAAUAGAACUCAGCUUCGAUGAAUGUCUUUAAUUAGUUGAUCUUAGUUGUUGUCUAUUAAUGCUUUUCAGGACUUUUAUGACCUAUGGCCGCACAAGUUUCAAUACAAAACUAAUGGGGUGACACAGGUUUAAAAUAAGUAACAGUUUUUUCAGUACAUUAACUUACUGAUAGGUUAAGUUGUUUCCUACCUGUAAAUAAAUUUUAGACUUGUUACUGUGAUGCUGUGAUGCAUCUUGCCCUGAUAACUAAAAGUACGCGAAUAAUUUAAAUUCACCUGCUGUGUAGUUAUUUUGAUCUCUUAAUAUUUGGUUUCUCAGCGUCGCUGGAUUGUUGUUAGCAAUCCUAGUUUAUGCGCUCUUAUCUCAAAAUGGCUUGGAACAGAAGCUUGGAUCCGUGAUAUUGACCUUUUAAUAGGCUUGAGAGACUAUGCAACUAAUGCUGAAUUGCAUCAAGAAUGGAAGAUGGUACUUUCAUAGUUGGCAUGCUUCACCUUUGAAACAAAACAUAUCAUUGGCUAUCUCAUUCAUUUAUUGUUAACUAUUAUCUCAUAGGUUAAGAAGGUCAACAAAAUAAGGCUUGCCGAGUACAUUGAAGCGAUGAGUGGUUUGAAGGUUUUGAAGAAAGCUAUAGUUUUUGCACCUACAUUUCUUUUUCCAUUUUUAAGGAGCUCUGAAAUGAUGUAAUGUUGGUGUGCAUUAUUUGUAAUGGGCAGGUCAGCUUGGAUGCAAUGUUUGAUGUGCAGACAAAGCGAAUACAUGAAUAUAAGCGGCAGUUGCUUAAUAUACUUGGCAUUAUCCAUAGAUAUGAUUGCAUCAAGGUUAACACCAUCUUUGGCUGAAAGAGCCAUGAAAACUUGUGGAAUUUAUCAAAUGCUUCUUUUUAUAUGCGCCUUUUUGAAUUGUCCGUGUAGCAAACUAACAACAUAGGUUUAAGUUAUUACCAUCCUGUUGCUGGAUGUUUGCAAGACCAACAAUUCCUUACUCAUUGUAAUAUGAGUUGAUUAACCAUUUCCUUAACCAUCAUCUUUUUGGCUUUGCAUAAAGAUGUUUAAGUAUUAGAAAUUGUACAUAUUUUCGAACAUUGUAAAAUAAGUUAAAAGAAUGUGUAACUCAGAGGUAUCUUUGCUCAUGCUAUUCUCAUUUGGUGCAGAAUAUGGACAAGAAUGAUAGGAAAAAUGUUGUACCACGGGUCUGCAUAAUUGGAGGAAAAGCUGCUCCAGGAUAUGAAAUUGCAAAGAAGAUUAUAAAACUCUGUCAUGUUGUGGCUGAAAGAAUCAACAAUGAUAAUGAUAUUGGAGAUCUUUUAAAGUUGGUAAGCUAGUAUUUAUUUUAUCUAGAAGUUCAAUGGAACUCUGAAGCGUGUAUUGUUUACUCAGAAGGGUGAGUAAUUUACCCUUAAAACAGAUAUAAUCAGCAACCAUGAUGAUGAAUUAAAGCUGCAAGGACCUUUAUAUUUGUCUUCUAAUAACAAAUCUGUCUUUCUAAGUCAUUAAGUAUUAUUGCAGGUCUUUAUCCCUGAUUACAAUGUUUCUGUUGCUGAGAUGGUAAUACCAGGGGCUGACCUUUCUCAACAUCUAAGGUAGUAUGCAUAAGUUUUGCACAUUAGAUGAUAUUAUCAAUUUCGUUAGCAGUUACAUUAUGUUUUGUAGUGAUUGCUGAUUGGGAUUUUUCUGUGGUCAACUAUUGGCUUCACUUAUAUAGAUAGAUCUAUUUGUCACUCUAAAGUUGUAUGCCUCCAUUUUACCAUUAAUUUGGGUCGAAAUAUUUUGGAAUCUUUUAGUAUUAAUUGUCAUUAAGCUUAUGUAUGAGCAGUUCAGAAUCACUAGGUUGAUGGAAUAAUAUAAUAUAAUAUAAUAUCCAGGUGAUUAAUUGGGGCAGAAUUAGUCUCUCCACAUUCUGAGCCCCGUUUUCCAGAAUUAAAAAAAAAAAAACCUGCUUCCACUCAACUUGUCUACUUCUGAUGUAUACUUCUUUUACUUUCUGAUCCAGCACUGCAGGACAUGAGGCAUCAGGAACUGGCAGCAUGAAAUUCUUGAUGAACGGAUGUUUACUUUUAGCCACAGCAGACGGUUCUACAAUUGAAAUGGUUGAAGAAAUAGGUCAGGAUAACAUGGUAAGUGCUAAAUCAACAGUCAUACAAAUGAAUCAAGGUAAAAGUACCAUGAAGUCCUCUAUAUUAGGAGUCAGAUUGUAUUUUACCUCCUCUACUCAAGAAAUGAGCAAAUUAGUCACUCUACAUUAGAUCAAAGAGCAAACUGGUCCUUUUAUAGAAAAUUUCAUCCAUUUUUGCUGUUAAAAGUUGGUCUCUGUACGUUAGCAUGAGGUACACAUGGCAUGUCACAUGUCACUGUCUAGUUAUUUCAUCAAUCAUGCCAGUUUUUAAUAGUACAAAAGAAUGAAAUUUUUAAUAGAAAGGACCAAUUUGCUCUUUAAUCUAAUGUAUAGGGACUGGUUUGCCUAUUUUUUUAGUAGAGGAGGCGAAAUGCAAUCCAACUCUUAGUACAAGAGCCUCCAUGGUACUUUUACAAUGAAUUAACAAUAUUAGUUGGAGUAGAUUUUGAUAACAUUUCUUUCAGUUCCUGUUUGGAGCAAAAGCGCAUGAAGUUGUUGCAUUGCGCAAGAAAGGACCCACUCUUAAAGUUCCUCUUCAGUUUUCGCGUGUUGUAAGGUAUUAUACCCCUUCAUUCUACGUAAUGUAUAGCUUUAUCAGUACGUUGCAUCUUAGUUUCUCUGUAAAGGAGAGUAUAUGUAUCCUUGCUUUUCUUAUACAGAGGUAGAGUUGAUUUAGAUAUUAUUGGUUUAAAUUUCAAGUGAUUUGAGUGGCAUUGUGUAACUAUUAUAUGUAGGAUGAUCCGAGAUGGUCAUUUUGGAUUUGAAGACUAUUUCAAAUCUUUGUGCGACAAGAUAGAGGGCACGAGUGACUAUUUUCUUCUUGGUGCCGAUUUUAUGAGCUAUCUAGAGGCCCAGGUAAAUAGUUGGUUUUCCAUCAGUUAGAAAUAAGAAUGCCUUGUAAAAGGGAAUUGCAUUUUAAUUGUGGACUGUGUUGAGAUGAACAGGCAGCCGCCGAUAAAGCGUUCGUUGAUGAAGAGAGAUGGACAAAAAUGAGUAUACUUAGCGCAGCUGGCUCUGGGAGAUUUAGCAGUGAUAGGACAAUCCAAGAGUAUGCUGAAAACACUUGGGACAUUCAACCUUGCAGAUGUCCCUUUUGAUUUGGGAAGUGAGAGCUACUCGAAAUAGAAUGAAGCUCUCGCAAUGUCAUGUGCGGGGCUUCUCUAUUUAUUAAUAAAAUAAAACGAAUUGAAUCGAAUAAAAUUACAAUGAAUAAUAACAAUGUUUCUAAAACUAAUAAUAGAAAAUAAUCAAAGCAUUCAAAAAUAUUUGAGUUGGAGCUUGACAUAAAUAUUGUUGUUGAUAGGACCUUAUAAAUGUUUAUUUAAAAAAAUUCAGACGGAAACCUAUUGCAAACUUUUUUGCCCAUUUCAAACAAUUUUGAUUUUGGACGAAUUAUAAUAAUUUCUUCUCUUUUCCUUUACCAGAAAGAUAUACCUUGUCUUUUUCGUAAAUAGAAUUAACUUUAUUCAACUGAUUUUUGUUUGGUUGUUCAUACUUCAUGAAAUAACAAUUUUCUCCUGGAUUCUACAAGCUUCGAUUACCCGCCACUAUUUCUGUUUACUUCUUCCGAGAAGAAAAAAGGAGGAAAGAUAGAAAAAAAAAAAAAGGUUGUUUAGAAGAGGCAGUAAUGGCGGUUAAUAUGAUUCUCCUUCCCUCCAUUUUCAGUUUUUUCUUCUUCCUCUUCUUCUUCUUCUUCUUCUUGUCACUCACAUCUCAAGAUGAACAAAGUAACAACCACAAUCUCUUGAUCCUUGAAUUGCGCGACUCCAAGCUCAAGAUCUCUCGUUUGGGUAAAAUUUCUUUUUUAUUUCUUCAUUGAUAAAUAAAUACCUUACUUAGAGUUUCCAAACAAACACUGAUCUUAACCUCGAUUCCUUGACUAUUGUAAAAUAUGGAUGCAGAAUCUGUUCUUGAAGAAAGAAUUCAAAACCUUAAUGCUAAAACCCUUUCUGUUAAGGAACACGGGAAAUCCCUCGAGGACAUGGCAAACAAGAGCACUUAUCUGCAGUCUGCUCUAUUUGAUCUUAAGGUUCAAUUCUUUCCUAAGAAGCUUUGCUUUUGUUUUUAGCUUUGUUUUCAUUUGUAUGUUACUCGGGUUUAUUUGGAUUGAAUGUCUUCUCCCUAUUGAUGUCUCAAAAUGAAAAAAAAAAAGGGGGGGGGGCUGCUUUUGAAAGCAGAAAAUUGAAUUGUGGUACGGUUUAUUCACUUAGUAAUCUUGUUCCAAAAAUACAUAGCAUAUUGACAUGUGAUUUUGCAAUUUCUAAAUGUAUAUAGCAUAUUGACAUGUUAUUUUGCAAUUUCUAAAUUGUAGGAUUAUUCAUUUCUUGCUGAUGAAAAAAGCUUAACGCUCUGGAAGAGGAGGUUCGUUUUAAAUGCUUCUAUAAAUAUAAUCGCUCUUUCAAACUUUUUUUCGUCCUAUUUGAUUCCUUGUCAUGUUUGUACGGGUGAGUGGCAAGAAAUAUUUGCUUUAGUGCAAUUCAACUUAGUACCAGGCUUCAUGAUCCUAGGUACACGGCCUUUGGGCUGUUUCGAGAAAGAACAAUUUUGAUCUUCAUGUUUUAGAGUUGAAAGCACAGGACGCCGAGGAUAGACUGGAAGCUGUUACUUCAUAAGUUGGAAAGGUUAGCAUUUACAUUCGUUAAUUUUGUUUCUGUAUAGAGACUCUGCUUGUAAAUGAUGAGGGCUUCGUCUUUGUUUUUUUUUUUUUUGGGGUACUAUUAUAAUAUGAGGUGAACCCUAAACCCUGGGGUGUCAACAAGAGAGCAUCAAUCACUGCUCCAAGGGGAUGUUGGUGAGGGGUUUUUCUUGUUUGUCAUACACCAUGACCAUCUAAUGCUGAAUGACUAAGCAUUUCUUCAUAUUAUAACGUUAUAUAAUCUAUAAUAAACUUUAAUGCCUCGUUUAGUUAUCUAGUGUAUUAACACAAGGAAAAGCUUACUACAUAAGUAUUAAAGUAGUUUGUCAUAACAUAUAGUGUAUAUUUAAACUUGAAAUUAGAAAGAUAAGUAGAACUCUAGUAAAAAAUAGGACCUCUUCAAAAUAAGAAAAAAAAAUUCUUUCUCAUUGCUCAAAACAAGUUGUGCUAGUGGUUAAAAAUUACCAUCUGAAGUUAGUUAGUUUGUAACUCAUGUACUAAGACAUGAAGAAAUAAUAUUCCUACCGAACGUAGCAUAAGAGUUUCAUCAAUAACUGCAAGAAUGCUUUAAGCACCUAUUUGCUGCUGUUCCAAUUAUUGAAGUUUGUGUUGCCUCAUUUCUAGAUUUAAAUAUCCUUGUUGGGUUGGGAGAGGUUUUGUUGGGUUGGUCAUCAGGUAUUAUGCUUUAGGUACCAGUCACUGGCUCAACGCUAAGCUGUAUUUCUUUAAAUGGAAGAGAAAUAUUAUAUCCUCAUAUUCUUUCUAAGUUGUUAAUGAAAAUGACCAUAUUUUAUCAGAACUCUUUCUUGGUUAUUUGAACUUUCUUUUGAUUGUUGAUGUGUAAAAGGCUUGAAAACUUGUUUAUUCCCUAUUGGUUUUAUUAUCUCUUGAUAUAACUAAUAUUGAAAUAAUUUGUAUUUUACUCACUCAAAGUUCCAUUCCCUUGCAUUUAGAUGGCAGAAGUUGUUACAGAACAAUGGGUUCAAAUUCAACAUCUUGAGCAGGCACUUCAAAUUGCUAAAGUAUGGUCUUAGGCCCUAAUGAUAUCAGUUAUUUGUUAAACUCAGGGAAAUUUGAAAGAAAAUGAAGAUAAAGGUUUUUCUCAUUAUAAUUAUCCUUUAUUUGCAUCAUUUCUUUGUGUUACAGAUGAGGGCAUUGCAAGCUCAAAAGCAAAGGAAUAUGAGAUGCACAUUCUUGAAGGUAAGAUAAUAAGUUGACAGUCUUUCAGACCUCUUCUUUUCCUCAGUCUCUGUCCCUUUAAAUUACUGUAAAUUUUAUCUUUGUAUAUCAAAGCAUCAGCAACAGUUAUAACUUUUAUAGUUCCUUUUAGUUAAGGAAAAAAUACUUUGUCAUAUGCUCGUGUUUCAUGUUAGUCAUAAGAUAAUCUAAUCUUGUAUGUGAAUAGUUCAUAGAUGGCAUUUCUGGAAGACAUCUCCCGAAGCCGUUCAAGGCCUUGGAUUCUUAUUCAUUGGGAAAAGGACCUAUCAUAAGAUACUACGUGUCUUAAGCUCUGCAACAAUUGAAAAGAUUUUACUCAGCAAUUAGAAGGUUUCACCCUGAGGUAUGUUUGAUACUGCAUGACUUUCUAGAUUCUUGUCUGAAAAAUAAUGGUGUCACUCUUGAAGGUCUUCACAUGUCAAAACUUACUUGACAUUACCUUUGUGAAGUUUCCAUUAAAAAAAAGUGGUCAAGAAACAUUUGAAUUUCAGUAUUGCGCUUGCCUCUAUCAACACCUCUUCCACUCUCCUUAGCAAUUUGACACAGAAGACUGUAAGAUAUAAUGGCUUCAAGAUUGCAGAAUCUCUUUCUUUUACUAAGUUCUGAAACUUAUUAUGGAAACUUUUGGUCUUUUCCAGCCUAAAAAAUGGAAAAUCGGUGGGUUGAUUGGUCAUGUAAAUAAGACCGAGUAUUCGUGGAAUUAUAGUUCUAUCAGCCAAGAAGAGUAUAUUAUGAACCUUAAACUAUGUACCUACAUAGACUUUGAACCUUAAUUGGCCCGUUAUCAGAUGUGAAUGUUGCCUUGAAUGAUAUUAACCAUACUUAACUUUUAUUACCAAGGCACUGAAAUUGCUUGUAAGAGAAGGAUAAUAAUUGUCUUGCACUUUCAACUUGAAAUUCUCUGCGUACAAUCAUCUCUGUUGGAUGUAUGCAGACAUGAAUUCUGCAAUCUUGUGCUUUAGUUCAGAAUAUUAUUUAGUAACAAUUCAAUUUCCUCCAAUGCACAGAAUUUGGCCUGCUUUACAAUUGAAGGAGUUAAAUUAGCAGCAUGUUAAAUUUCUUCCAUCUGUCUCCUUUGUGCUCAUCAGAGGUUCCAGUUUACAAGUUAAUAUGCAUUAGUUUUAGAAAAUAUUGGCCAAGUACAAAGAAGUAUAUCCCUUCCCUAGGAACCUCUGGCUUUCCAAGAAAUAAAUGUUUUCUGUUUGUUUGCAGUUGCAAGCUUUCAUCAAAUAGGAGAUGCAAAGAAAUGAACUUACUGCUGCUUUUGUCAAUGAUGAACUGGUAUUCUUUCUGGUAUGUUCUUGAGUACCAGCUGCCAUCUUCUGUACAUGAAGAUUUACUUGAAUUGCUGGUAUAAUUCAUUUUAUGGUAUUUCAGGCUUCUGCUUUCAUUACCUUCCCUAUACUGGGUUCUUGGAUGCUGCUUUUAACAUAGUUCAGCUAGGUGAAGAAAUCUUCUUUUAGGGGGUAGUGUCUUACCCUGAAAUAGUAGGUGACAUCCAAGCUGUUGCACUUUGUUUUCUCUGAUCUCUUUUACAGAUUGGUUUUUGAUAUUAAAAGGUGAAAGAAGAGUUAGACACAUUACUGCGUACAGCACCGGGUCAUUUUGUUGCCAAUGAGUCAAUUUUACAUGGAAGUAUUCCAGGGUCCAGAUCAAUACAGUAUGAUAUUCAUUGACCCAAAUGUUGAUUUUUGAGGCUUAAGAUAUUUGCAUCUAUUUGUAGCCUAAUCAAAAUUGGAGUCGAUCAUUGAAUUGAUUGUGUACAAAGAUACGCAGACAUUUACACACUGGGAGCGUUUCACGUCCAUGACAAUUUUAGUCAUUUUCUUUAAAAAAAAAUGUUGGGAUUUGAAUUUUAAAUCUUUUUUUCUUAAAAAGUUGGUUUCGGUAACGCCGUUGAUGAAACUAAAGAACAGCCGUGGCAUCCAUGAGUGAAGAUUAACUAUUAAACAAAAACAAAUGAGGAAAGUGGUGAGGAGGAAUCCCAGAUUUUUGUUAAAAGAAAAAGGAAAACGUGAAUUCAUUCAUGAUUCAUCAUCUCUCUGUAGUCGGUCAUCAUGAAAUCAACGUAAAGAAAGGCAAAUGGCAGGCGAUAUGGCAAUUCCUUGAUGAAGGUAUUUCAAGCCUUGCAAAAAAACAAAAACUUCCUUUGUUUCUUUUUCUUUUUUUUGUCUCCUUCCGAAGUCACAAGGCUAAUCCAUAAUUGAGACUGAAAAAAGCAAAAAUGGAAGAGUCGACAUGGGAGCAAAAGCUCCAGGCUCUAACCCACAUCCUAACAAGCCCCACAACCUCACCGCCUCUCCACUCUCAACUCUUCAUCUCCACACAAAUACCAUGUUUCCUCAACUGGGAUUUCCCUCCAAUUCUCUGCAAUAAACCCAACUCCCAUACCUUCCCUUCUCUCCACCUGAAAUGGGGAAUCUCUCUUUUCCUCAGAAGGGUCUCAAGAUUGGGUGUCCCCGAAACUUCCUGGAGGUCCAAGUGCCCUUACUAUCAGCCCCCACCACUGAUUCUGGCCAAGGGAGUGGAUGAAGCACAAUGGGUCGAUGCGCAAAAGCGAGAGUAUGUUAGGAAGAGGCUGAGAAGGAAACGCCUAGAAAGCCAUGUCCACCCUUUAAUUCCGAUUUUGAUUCCCGAUUUAUUAUUGUUCUCCCUGCUCUGGUUCAAUCCAUUUCCUCUUAAUGAUUCCUGACAAUUUUCCUUGUCUCAGAAUUGUAUAAUAAUAAGUACAUAACUCUUAUGUCUUAUCACUUCUCUUGUCAACGUUGGAUCAUUUUAUUUACUUUGGUCGAUUUCGGAUUUCUUUCUCGGUAGCACUGUUGUUUGCCUUAUCAAAAUCUCUACUCUCAGAAAUUUUUCUUUCUUUUAUAGAAGAUGAUGAUGAUGAUGAUGAUGAUGAAAAGGGGCUUAAAUUGAGGCCCCAAGUAAAUUAAUUAGAAGCUACAACAUCAUAAAGCAAAAUCAGUAAUAAAGAGUUCUGAUUCACUUUGCUUAAUAUAGAAUUUACCUUUGCCAGUUAAGCCCGCCUGUAAUUUUGGUUAACGUCUAAACAUGCAUUUAUUUAUUUAUUUACAACUUACCUCAUUAAUUUUCUCCCCAUGUAUAACCCACCAAACUCCAACUGCACUACCUGAAACUCUUUAUUCGGUUUAGUUAAAUCUGGCCUCCACUUUACCACAACAUAGUGGGGCUGGCCAUCGCCUCCACUUUAUUCAAUACAUUCAGCUUCUAGAAUUCCAAAAACAAUACAUCAUGAUUUGUUUAUUAUGUUACUUUAAUUUUUUUUCCCCUUUUCGUCUAGUCUUGUUUUAUAUUAGCAGUGUUGAUCGUUGAUAAAGGUUGAAGUUUCGGAUUUUAAUGUUUGAGUUUAAGUUCUACCAUCUAUAAUUGCAAUACGGGUCUCUCUUACCUUGUGUAUAUGCGGUGUGUUUUAUCUAAUUAUUUUUAGAUUUUACUAUGUUUUUGUUCAGUUCUUCAUCUAUUAUGAAUUGCAUCAGUUGAAUUUUACGUUAUAAUUUAUUGAACAUAUAUUUAUUUUUGUCUUCUAAUUGUACAAUUUUUAUACCAGUGAAUUUUUUUAAAAAAAAUCAUGUGAUUAUGGAAUAUACGACAUAUAUUUAUGAAAUUUUAAGAAAAGAAAAAAAGAAAUGUUAAGUAUACACCAUUUUCAGUCACAUUAGAAUCCUGUUAAUACAUUAUUUCUACGGCUUCUACAUCACUAAACUGAUGAUCACAUUGGAUACUACCUUUUCUUUUCUUUUUGACUUAAUAGUAUUAAUGGUUUUCGAGUUUGGCAAACAUUUUUUUUCAAAAUUGGGUAGGAUUCGAUGGCCAGAUUGAUACAAUCUUUGUACGGCCGAAACGCUUCCCUACCGUUAAUCAAGCAACCAAACUUCACUUAAUCCAAGGAAAAGAAGAAAAGCAAAAAGUAAAAGCCAAAAGAAAAAUUAUUCAAUUGAUUGGUCAAACACUAACGUUGACAAUAAAGCUUCUUUUUUUUUUUAACUCUCUACCAUUGAUCUUUUAUUCCACCCCUUCCUUACAGCUUUUUGUUGUUGUUGUUUUCUAAAACAGAACCUCAUAAUAUCAGACAUAUUGGGACUCUGAAAAUUCAACCUUCAGGGAGAAAAAAUCCUUCUUGUUUCCAUUAUGUUUAUUUUGUUAUAGAUGGAGGCAUCGGUGCUUGAGUUGUGAAUGCAUAAGCAUGAACCAUAAAGUUCAAUCAAGAUAUGAGGAGAAUCUUCUUUUUCCUUUAUCUUUGCUUUUCUGUUUUUCCUUUGUUGAUGGCGCCAAACGUAGUCUUAAAGUAUAUUAGAUACAUCUGGUGACCAACAUUCAAUUAUAAUAAAGAGUAUAGAUAGAUACAUCAAUACUAUCCAGCCCUCUUUCAUGAUGAUGUUGCAAGUUUUGCACUCCACCCCCAUAUUAUUAUGAAGAGGAGAAAUUCCUGUUAGUUGAGCUUUAUUUUCUAAGAAAUGACUUCUAACAUUAAUAAAUUUGAAUCAUGAUAUAUUUAUAGCUAUUUCUCUUACUCUCUCGUAUUAUAGCUUUCUUUAUAUGCUAAAACAGGAGAUGAGUAGGAAGAAACAAUUUUUGUUAAAAGACGUGAAGUUGUCUUAAGAUUGACAAGGCAGUUAGAUGCAUUUAAAUUGGUAUUUAAGGAUAUGUCUGUAUAUAACUAGAACUAAUUAAGAUUACAAUACACUGCAAAAUGAUUCCACCUUUUUUUUUGGGGGGUUCUCUCUUUUAUAUGAUCAAAUACAAUGUUGAUAUGAACAAGGUUUUGCAGUUGUAGAAAAUCGUGGAGGACUUUUUUUUUUACAAAAAAGAAAGAUAAAAUUCAUAAAAAAUGUGAAGUUAAGCAUAUUUAGCGACGGGUGGGGUAUGGGGUGGUUUGCUAACAUGGAAUGCGCAUGGCAGAUUGGCACUUUAAAGAAGGGAUGGGGCCGAGGGGGCGGGAGUUGUUAAAUCCUCGGGGUAGAAAAAGGUAAGUAAGCGUGUCCCUGGCAUUAGACAAGGAGUAGAGGGGGCAGCACAUGCACAGCAUAACUAUAUCUCUUUAUUUUAUGUCCCACUCCACUCCCCCUCAUCUCUGCCGCAACAUUAAAUACCAUAUGCAUCCUUACUAUUCAUAAUGGUUUUUUGUUGGGUUGAUGUUACAAAAUUACAAUUUUACUAUAGAUGUAUUUAUAAUAUUUAAGAUUUUUUUAAGUAGGAGUUUAAUCUUUGGUGGUGAUGUUGAUUUUAGAUAUAUUCCCCACCCGCAAGUAGAUAUCAUACAUUCUAAUAUAAUUAAAAAUGGUAUAAUUAAAAUAUUUUUAAUAUUUUUAAUAUUAUUUUUAUAUUUUUGAAUUUUUAAAUUUUAAAAAAUUAAUUAAAUGUUGGUGCGUCAUCUACAUGUAUGCAACGGCGAAGCUUAAAAAAUAUUAAUUUUUUUCAUUCGUGAUUUGACAAAAAAAAGUAAGUUUAAAGGCUAAAAAAGCAUAAAUUUAAAUAAAUAGCUAAAAUAAUUUUUUUACAAAGUUAGAGAGCCAAAUAAAUUAUUAUUUUAUUUAAAAAUAUUUUUUUAAUAAAUUAUUAAUUUAGUCACAUAAUCUAAUAUAAUUUAAUUCAAACCCGUUGGUUCCAUCAACAAAUUGAUCUGCAUGAGACUUAAGGGUUAGAAUUUGGUGCGUAACUCUUUUUCCUCCUAAUUUUUACUUUUAAAAAGAAAUUGCAAUACAAUUUUUUUAUUAUAGAAUUCUCCAAUUUUUAUUUAUUUAUUUGAUCAGGAAGCUUUAUUGACACUGCUUUUAUUUUUCCAUCAAUCCAAUUUAAGAGACAAUUCACUUUUUAUAAUUAACAAAAAACAAAAAGAAAAUAAAAGAAAUUACUUUUUCCUUUUUCGUGUUCGAUACAAGAUAGAUGAAAUAUGGAAAAUAAAAUGCAAUGAAAAUAUAUUAUUAGUGAUAUAUCACCUCCAUUAUGUAGGGGAAAGAAAUAAAAAUAAUAUUAAUUUAUGAUACUUUCAUAAUGUGGUUAAAAAUAAUUAUCUAGUAUUUUUUUGUAAAAAAAAAGGAAAGUUGAUAUCUAUGCUACUAAUGAAGUUUCUUAGUGAGUUUGUUACUAAUCAUAUUCGAAUUUUAAAAAUUGUGAAUUUUUAAAAAAUAAGUUAUUUAUAUAACUAGUAAUAUACUAUUUUGACUCUUUUUUUAUCCGAGUUAAUGUUAGUUAUCUCGUGAUACCAAUUCAAUAAAACACUUUAUUUAUAUUAAAUUAAUAUAGGUGAGAAGUAAAAUUAUUUAACAAAUAUAUUCUUAAAAAUACUAAAGGAGGUUUUGGUUGAAUAGCAAAAUAUAAAUAUUACAAAUUAUAAAGAUGUAGGUUCAAUAUUUUUACUAUUUUUCUAUAUAAAAUGAUAACCUUAUAAAAGUAGUUUGUGGUUGAUGGACUAAUUUUUUAAAAAGAAUUAAUAUUAGUAAAGAUAUAUAUGGUACUAAACAUAAGGAAAUAGGGGAAAACGUAUCAUAUUUGUAGUGGGAGAAUGGGAUCAUUACAAGGAAAAAUGAAAUAUAUAUCAUUAACAACAAACAUAAAAGAAAGCGUCUUUUGAUAAAGUUGUUAUUGGUGUAAUGUGAAGGGACCACAAUCAUCACCAUUCACCACUUGCUCCUAAUUGAGUUGAAAUCUUUUUACAACAUAGAAAACUAGAACAUCUCCCUUUCUUGCUUCCUAUAUAUAGAUUUUGUAUCAUCGCAAUUCCACAUCACACACGCAAGCAAAGCAAAGCAUUAGCAACCAUAGCCAUGGCUUCCUCACCAAAACUCUUCUCUAUGUCUAUCCUCUUCCUUUUUGCCCUCUUCUCCAUGCAAAUCCAUGCUAGAGAGUACUUCAGCAAAUUCCCAAGAGUUAACACCAAUGAGAAAGAGACAACAACCAGAGAGCAAGAGCACGAGACCUUCGUUCCCCAGACCACCCAAAAGCCAGAAGAGCAAGAGCCAAGGUUCAUCCCUGAAACCCAAAAUGGUUAUGGCCUUUACGGCCACGAGUCAGGCUCAGGCUCAAGCCGGCCCAGUUUCACCACCAAAGAAACCUAUGAACCCUAUGUCACCCCUGUUAGAUUCCACCCUGAUGAACCCUAUAACAGCAUCCCCGAAUCCUCCAACAAUAAAGACACUUACUACUACAACAAGAAUGCCUACAAGUCCACUAAGCAGCAAAACUUGGGCGAGGCCAUUUUCACCGAGAAAGGAUGGAGCACCAAGGAAAACCAGAACAACAACUACUACAACGGCAACAUUAAUGGCGAGAAGCAAGGCAUGAGCGAUACUAGGUACUUGGAGAAUGGAAAGUACUACUAUGACGUCAAGAGUGAGAACAGCUAUUAUCCAAACCAGCUCGACAACUCAAGAGGAGUUG